UACGUAGGGGGCGAGCGUUGUCCGGAUUUACUGGGCGUAAAGGGCACGCAGGCGGUCCUGUCAGUUUCUAGUGACAGGUCAGAGCUUAACUCUGACAGGCCUAGAAAGACGGCAGGACUUGAGUACUUCAGAGGGACGCGGAAUUCCAGGUGGAGCGGUGAAAUGCGUAGAGAUCUGGAAGAACACCAAAGGCGAAGGCAGCGUCCUGGGAAGUUACUGACGCUCAGGUGCGAAAGCUAGGGGAGCGAACGGG
rnacentral:rRNA from 1 species